rnacentral:rRNA from 1 species
AGAGACAGCAGCAGCCGCGGUAAUACGUAGGUGGCAAGCGUUGUCCGGAAUUAUUGGGCGUAAAGCGUGCGCAGGCGGUUGUGUAAGACAGGUGUGAAAUCCCCGGGCUUAACCUGGGAACUGCGCUUGUGACUGCACAGCUAGAGUAUGGCAGAGUGGGGUGGAAUUCCACGUGUAGCAGUGAAAUGCGUAGAGAUGUGGAGGAACACCGAUGGCGAAGGCAGCCCCCUGGGCCAAUACUGACGCUCAUGCACGAAAGCGUGGGGAGCAAACAGGAUUAGAUACCCCGGUAGUCCCUGUCUCUUAUAC